rnacentral:rRNA from 1 species
ACGACUCUCGGCAACGGAUAUCUCGGCUCUCGCAUCGAUGAAGAACGUAGCAAAAUGCGAUACCUGGUGUGAAUUGCAGAAUCCCGYGAACCAUCGAGUUUUUGAACGCAAGUUGCGCCCAAGGCCUUCUGGUUGAGGGCACGCCUGCCUGGGCGUCA